GUCAGGGCCUGCCGGGGCGGUGGCUUGAUGUAGGUGAGGCGUCAGGGGGAAAUUCUUUCCCCUGAGGGCGAUGAGGCGCUGGCACAGCUGCCCAGAGAAGCUGUGGUGUCCCAUCCCUGGAGGCGCUCAGGGCCAGGUUGGAUGGGGCCCUGGGCAGCCUGAGCUGGUGGGGGCAGCCCUGCCCACAGCACGGGUUGGGACUAGAUGAUCUUUAAGGCCUCCUCGAGCCCAAACCAUCUUUGGUUCUGUAAUAGCCAUAGGGUUCUGAAGCACUUACUUAAUAACGCUGCAGAGCCUAAACCAUUCCCACAGUGGUUGGAGAUGCUCAGGUGGGAGCAUGUGAACCUGCACUGUCUUUUCAGUGACCUCAGGCGCGCCAGUCAGUUCUGUUGCAGGCCAUCUGGAAGAUGGGCUUUACAGGUCGCAGCGAGUAAGGUGACAGAUGGCUGGUUUAUAAUUCGGCCUGACGAAAGGUAGCUUGUGCAGAACAUGAGGCCAGCAGGAGGAUUGCAGGGAGCAGAGCAUGUGGCAUGGGCUGGUGAGCACAGGGAGUAUCAUUAAUCAUGUAUGGCAAAUACAUGAUUUCCUGAAGCAAAAAAACAGUUACACACGUGGAAAAUCGUGAAUUCCUUCUGGUCAUCUCCAGCAUAAUUGGUUUCAUACAUCCAUCAAAUCGGCCAUCCUGCAAAGACCUAGCCAACACAGGCAGCUGUGUUGUGAACAGGGGCCACACCGUGAUCCAUUGUCUCUCUUAGAUGGAUGUUUACAGCAACAGGGCUCUGGGUACAUGACAACCUACUAGCAGUAAGAAAACAACAUUGGAAAAAAAUGAUCUCUCUGAAAACAAGGGACACAAACUCACUUCUCACUUGAAAAUGCAGGCUGUGCUCUUGCUGCUAACUUUCUGGCUGUGCUUCAAACAUUAACUGUUAUCAGUAGCAAUAGCUGAUGUUUAUUCUUCCUAAUUUCACAUUGUUCAUCCACACUGAGCUUUCAAGCUAGCUCACUUUCCACUGAUUUCACUUCUCUCUACAGUAGCAUCAAACAGAAUUUAAAGUUGUCUUCAUAAAAAUUUUACAUGGCUGUAAUUGCUAGUGUUAGUCCUGUUAAUAUUUGCUCUUACUGAUGACUCAAAGAGUUAUGCACCCUCUACUUACAGCCAUCAGGCAGUCCCACCAGUAUAAGAUGAGUCAUGCUAUGUAGCUAAUUUCUAGUUAGGUGUCUUUUGGGUCAUUUCUAUGGAUUUUGGGAACACUUCUUCCAGGAGGAAUGAAGUCUGACUUGAAAGAUGAGGACUGUAUCAGAGAAAGGGGCUAGCUUAAUAUUUUCUGUACAAAUAUAUUGUACAGUGGUUAAUGUAAGCAAUUAAAGAGUUAAAUUUCUUUGUCCCCUUCUGUCCUGUCCCAUAUGUUUUGAAGUGCAUACCCACAUGGCACAGGUGUCAACUAAAUGCAGGAAGUCUGCAUAUCUAACCCCCCUUUCUGCUCCUGAAUUUCCAUUUCCUUUUUCUCCCUUCAGCUCUUUUUCUUUUACUGGUUUGUUUAACUGAUGUUCUCUGCAAGGCAGGACAAAGAAUUUCAUUAUCUCUGUAAAAUAUUUAGCACUUUUAAGUUGACCAAAAUAAGAUAUAGCUUUAGGCCUAAGUACAGUACCAGAGAGAUUAAUGAG
ensembl:lncRNA